rnacentral:rRNA from 1 species
UGCCAGCAGCCGCGGUAAUACAGGAGGAGCAAGUGUUAUUCAGAAUUACUGGGCGUAAAGCGCGCGUAGGCGGAUUGGAAAGUUGGGGGUGAAAUCCCGGGGCUCAACCCCGGAACUGCCUCCAAAACUGCCAGUCUAGAGUUCGAGAGAGGUGAGUGGAACUCCAAGUGUAGAGGUGAAAUUCGUAGAUAUUUGGAAGAACACCAGUGGCGAAGGCGGCUCACUGGCUCGAUACUGACGCUGAGGUGCGAAAGUGUGGGGAGCAAACAGGAGUAGAUA